rnacentral:rRNA from 1 species
AUUGAACGCUGGCGGCAUGCUUUACACAUGCAAGUCGAACGGUAACAGGCCGCAAGGUGCUGACGAGUGGCGAACGGGUGAGUAAUGCAUCGGGACGUGCCCAGUCGUGGGGGAUAACGCAGCGAAAGCUGUGCUAAUACCGCAUACGAUCUAUGGAUGAAAGCGGGGGACCGUAAGGCCUCGCGCGAUUGGAGCGGCCGAUGCCAGAUUAGGUAGUUGGUGGGGUAAAGGCCCACCAAGCCAACGAUCUGUAGCUGGUCUGAGAGGGCGACCAGCCACACUGGGACUGAGACACGGCCCAGACUCCUACGGGAGGCAGCAGUGGGGAAUUUUGGACAAUGGGCGCAAGCCUGAUCCAGCAAUGCCGCGUGCAGGAAGAAGGCCUUCGGGUUGUAAACUGCUUUUGUACGGAACGAAACGGUCUGGGUUAAUACCCUGGGCUAAUGACGGUACCGUAAGAAUAAGCACCGGCUAACUACGUGCCAGCAGCCGCGGUAA